GAUCAUUAGUGAAUAUAGGACGUCCAACUUAACUUGGAGUCCGAACUCUCACUUUCUAACCCUGUGCACUUGUUUGGGAUAGUAACUCUCGCAAGAGAGCGAACUCCUAUUCACUUAUAAACACAAAGUCUAUGAAUGUAUUAAAUUUUAUAACAAAAUAAAACUUUCAACAACGGAUCUCUUGGCUCUCGCAUCGAUGAAGAACGCAGCGAAAUGCGAUAAGUAAUGUGAAUUGCAGAAUUCAGUGAAUCAUCGAAUCUUUGAACGCACCUUGCGCUCCAUGGUAUUCCGUGGAGCAUGCCUGUUUGAGUGUCAUGAAUACUUCAACCCUCCUCUUUCUUAAUGAUUGAAGAGGUGUUUGGUUUCUGAGCGCUGCUGGCCUUUACGGUCUAGCUCGUUCGUAAUGCAUUAGCAUCCGCAAUCGAACUUCGGAUUGACUUGGCGUAAUAGACUAUUCGCUGAGGAAUUCUAGUCUUCGGACUAGAGCCGGGUUGGGUUAAAGGAAGCUUCUAAUCAGAAUGUCUACAUUUUAAGAUUAGAUCUC
rnacentral:misc_RNA from 1 species